CUCUCUCUCUCUCUCUCUCUCUCUCUCUCUCUCUCUCUCUCUCUCUCUCUCUCUCUCUCCUUCCAUUCCUCAUUCCUUCACCUGUUUCCAAGGCAACUAAUGAGAUAUAAUUAAUAAGAUCUACCGAAUGGAGGGGAUGGGCUGUGUGCAGAAAUGAGUGAGACGGAGGCUUCAAACAGAGAGUGUGAAUUCAGGCGGAACAAUGUAAAGUGGCGCGUCUAUCUUCCGCAUUUAGGACUGUUCACACAUGUUCACACAUGUUCACAAAGCUCCCUGUAGCAAAUGUAGCUGAAUAGAAUGAUAAAACCCACGGAUUUGAAACACAUUCAAACAGAUUUUACAAGAUUAACAAAUAAGUAAAAAAAUAAAUAAAAAAUUUCUUCUCUUCAGAUUUUCUUCGGUACAUUUGUAUCAAUGCAUUAGGGUUAAACAGGUCUAGGUUUGUGUUUGACAUCUAACAUAUCUAAAGCUCUACACCGAAGUGUGAAUUCUUGCACUUCAGAUCUUUAAAAACCUGUGAGAAAAUGUUAACAGUAUUUUGUUUACAGGGGUCAAAGGGGACAUUCUGAAAAAAAAAUCACAGAAUAAAACCUUUAUUUAGCAGAUAGAAAUCAAGAGAUUCUAUUAUGAGGCAAAAUUUCCUCAUUCUUACAUGUGUGAUGCGACCCAUGGUAUCUUUGCUUCCUUUGGAUAAAUUGUGAUUUCAUGUAUAUGUGGUGGGUGUAGCUGAGGGAACAGGGAAGGAUGAGGUUUGGUUCAAAAUAGCACGGUAUCAUUUCUCCAAACCGGACAGAAAUAGGUCCUGACAGCAUUUCCUCACACACAGAGUGUGUGUGUCUAUUAAGGAGGAAAUCUCAAAACCUAUAAACUAAUGGUUUCAUGAAGCAGGGCCUGUGUCCUUCCCUGGUGUUAAUACAGAGGUGUGUCUGAGACCUAGAGCUUUUUAUUCUCAGAAACUGUAACACCACAAUGACAGCAAACUUCCUAAACCAGUUGCAGCGACAGUUUUACAGUCGGCCCUGCCGACUUUCACCACUGAGAGUGCAAACAGCAAGUGGCUAAUCUCUGCCAGCAAGUGCCAACUCACUCCAGUUCUCCACUAAACUCCAGUUCUCCACUAAAAAUGCUGUAAUCCCAGGCCGGAUUAAUGCUGGUUCAGGCGAAUGCCUCUCCUGCCAGUAAAAGUCCUCAACCAGCUACGCAGCAGGACAGAAAGCCACUUAUCACUUCCAAAAUGCCAUUGCCACAUUCAAAACUCCCAAGAUGGACAAGUCCCCCAGCUGCCUGAUAUACAGAGCCUGAGAGCUGAUGAUCACAUACAACAAACCACUGAGCAAACUAUUGGCAUUGGCCAUGGAUAGUUUUUGCAGUGAACUCUGCUUGCAAAUUAUAUUUUAUUGCAGAUACCUGUAACAAAAUAAAUACUGAAUGUAGA